GUGAGUAAUUCGUUCUCAAUUGUCAUGCGAAUCACGAACAUUAAUUCUUAUUGAAAUCUUAUCGAAACCAGCUGAUAAAUCAAAACCAAAGAGAGGAGAAUCAUGAAAGAAGACACUAAUACGGCAUUUCCACGACAGCCCAAUUACGUGUUUCGCUCUUUCAAUUGCUAAUGCGAAUUACCCCCAUUCACACGGCACGCAGUUUGACAGUUUACGGUUUCGUUUGUUUGUUUCAUUUGAAUAUGAAGGGAAUAGAAAAGAAAAGCAACUGCAAGGGACAACAGUGGUACCUUCAGAAUGAGGACUUUUCCAACCCAUGCGGGCAUUACUUGCCCGGUUCAAGAGCUACCACACUGAAAACUUAGUAGUGGAUAGCAUAAACAAUCAAAAUUCUACUAUAAUAUCGACUACAUUAUCAAUUGAAAUAGAGUCUUCAAUAAUUUCUCCAGCGGUAACACCAGCACUGUCAUCACCGUCUAGUAGUAGGGAUACACCUGCUCCCGAAAGACCAAUGCCACCUUCAUCUGGAAGAGAAAAAGAAGGAUUAGUGAGUUUUCUUAAAAAAUUUUAAAAACUAAUAUGGAAAAGAUUCGUGUAGAAAUGGAAAAAACAUCGUCGAAUUUCAUUGCAAUAGAAGAAGAAAUAAGAGGUCUAUUAAAAGCCUAUAUAGAGAAGGUGGCUGAAAUAUUUGCGAGUCAUUACACCGUCCCGGGCUACCGCUGCUUGCAUAAAUAAAACGACACGUAAAAUAAUUUAAGAUUAAAAAUUCACAAACGCACUAAACUCUUUAAGCACUUGAAUGUCAUCCUUUAUAAUUGUAAUAAUCGGUGGCGGUGGUGGGUAAAUCUCAAUGUGACAACCGUGUACAAAUCGUAAAUAAAAGUAAGAAUAAUCUAUGUAUA